rnacentral:rRNA from 1 species
UACGUAGGGGGCUAGCGUUGUCCGGAAUAAUUGGGCGUAAGGGGCGUGUAGGCGGCCCGGUAAGUCCGCCGUAAAAGUCAAAGGCUCAACCUUUGAAUGUCAGUGGAUACUGCCGGGCUAGAGUCCGGAAGAGGCGAGUGGAACUCCUGGUGUAGCGGUGGAAUGCGCAGAUAUCAGGAAGAACACCAACGGCGAAGGCAGCUCGCUGGGACGGUACUGACGCUGAGACGCGAAAGCGUGGGGAGCGAACAGG